rnacentral:rRNA from 1 species
UACGUAGGCAGCAAGCGUUGUUCGGAGUUACUGGGCGUAAAGAGUGCGUAGGCGGUGCCCUAAGUCUGUUGUGAAAUCUCCUGGCUCAACUGGGAGGGUGCGGUGGAAACUGGGGUGCUUGAGAGUGGGAGAGGUUAGCGGAAUUCCUGGUGUAGCGGUGAAAUGCGUAGAUAUCAGGAGGAACACCGGUGGUGUAGACGGCUGACUGGACCACGACUGACGCUGAGGCACGAAAGCGUGGGUAG